rnacentral:lncRNA from 1 species
AGGCUGAGAUGUCAGCUCUGCAUGCCCUCCCUGUGAGCAACGGCUGUGGGGCUGCAGGGCUGACGCUGCUCUCCUCCCUUCUCUUUCAGAAAACCAAGCAACAGUCACACACUGAAGAAGCCAUAGAGGUUCAAAGCAGUAGAAACUUCGUCUUUCCACAUCUAAGGGCUUUUGAAACACCAGGAAGAUCAGAUCUGCUCACUGGGUUGAACACAGCGGGGGAACCUUCCUGCCUGGCAUCAGCCUCUCCCUCUCCUCCAGCCCGUUAGGGACAUGCAGCCGGAUUGGCACGCCGAGCAGCACUCCCCUCCCUCUGCCGGACCAGCACUGCCUUCGCUCUGGCUUGCCUUACUCCGGCUGCCUCUCUGCCCCUGAGGAGCUGAGCGCCAGUGUACUGCAGUGGCUGGCUGGCUGCCCCUCGAGGGGACCAGCCCCGCUUAGCCCCCCUCCACCUGCUCUGCACGAGCAAUGGGCUCCCAGCUCUGCUCAGGCAUCGGUGGGGCUGAGCCCAGCUCCCUGCCAACAGCAUCUGCACCAACCUGUUUUCGUAAUCCAAGGUUAUAAAUUACCUAUAACCCCCAAAUAAAACAGUUUAAUGCAGACCGAAAAGCCUUAGCUAUCACCUGAAAUGUGGCCCACAACAAUCUGGUUGGAGGAGACCUUCCCUAUGUAGACAAGUUAGAAAUGGUGAGCAGCUUCCCCCAAGCAGCGAGGUGAGUGCGGGCAGUGGAGGCACAUCCCUGUCUUCUCUGCUCUAGCGGGGGAAAUAGAGGCAGCUUCUACUGCCUGCCUUUUUUCUUUGCUUUGUAAACAAUCCCUGGUUUUAACCAAAUUUCUAGCUCAGAAAGCAAUAGAGCACCUAGAAGGAAUUUUAAAAGUGAUCUGUAGGGUGAAAUUUAUCAGCUGAGGUGUUAAAACCACAUUUGUUCUGAUGCUGAUUGCCUCUAAGCCAGGGCAGGGCACAGCAUAGGCUCGGUGAUGAAGCAAGCUCCCCGUGCCAUCCCCCUGAGCUGCUUGCAGCCUUUAUGUUCCCCAUGGCACCACCCCGUGCCCAGAUGCCAGUGCUGUGUUGUCUGCGCAGGAGAGGACCAGCAUGCAGCGGCUGCCCCACCAGCUGCAGCAGGGCAGGCAAGGAAAAAGUGUAGCUUAGAAACGUUCCUAGUUUUUGUGAGUUUGUAUGACAACACUAGUUAAACAUAGAUUUGUGUAUUAACGUACACAGUGUAUAUUAUAAAUUAAUACAUACCAGAGAUAUAUCGUAGUUAUGGUAUAGAGUGUUAUUUCCCCAGCAGCUUGGGGAGCAUCCCCGCGGGGCCGCCCUCCCCUCCCAUGAGCAUCGCAGUGCGCUUUGUUAUUCAGCCAUGAGUGUCGAGCUGCAGCCCAGAAGAUGCUCUCAGAGCAGAACAGGGCCAGGAGUUUCGCUGCUCCUGCCACCACCCUCUCCCUCCCAAGAGCCGCGUAAGAGUGCUCUGCCCGCAGGAGCGGCUGCCGAGGCAUCCGGCAGCAGCCUGGGAGGGGCAGGGCCAAUGU